AGUGAACGCUGGCGGCAGGCCUAACACAUGCAAGUCGAACGGCAGCACAGGGGUAGCAAUACCCUGGGUGGCGAGUGGCGGACGGGUGAGGAAUACGUCGGAAUCUGCCUAUUUGUGGGGGAUAACGUAGGGAAACUUACGCUAAUACCGCAUACGACCUACGGGUGAAAGCGGAGGACCUUCGGGCUUCGCGCAGAUAGAUGAGCCGACGUCGGAUUAGCUAGUUGGCGGGGUAAAGGCCCACCAAGGCGACGAUCCGUAGCUGGUCUGAGAGGAUGAUCAGCCACACUGGAACUGAGACACGGUCCAGACUCCUACGGGAGGCGAGCAGUGGGGAAUAUUGG
rnacentral:rRNA from 1 species